rnacentral:rRNA from 1 species
CCUACGGGUGGCUGCAGUCGAGAAUCAUUCACAAUGGGGGCAACCCUGAUGGUGCAACGCCGCGUGGAGGAUGAAGGUCUUCGGAUUGUAAACUCCUGUCAUCUAGGAGCAAGGCAUGGUGGUCAAUAGCCAACAUGAUUGAUAGUACUAGAAGAGGAAGGGACGGCUAACUUCGUGCCAGCAGCCGCGGUAAUACGAAGGUCCCGAGCGUUAUUCGGAAUCACUGGGCGUAAAGGGAGCGUAGGCGGCGUGGAAAGUCAGAUGUGAAAUCCCGG